rnacentral:rRNA from 1 species
GACGAACGCUGGCGGCGUGCUUAACACAUGCAAGUCGAACGGAAAGGCCCUGCUUUCGUGUGGUUCCCGAGUGGCGAACGGGUGAGUAACACGUGAGUAACCUUCCCUGUACUUUGGGAUAACUUCAGGAAACUGGUGCUAAUACCGGAUUGGAGCGCCUGCUGCAUGGUGGGGUUUGGACAUUUUCGGCGGUUGGGGAUGGACUCGCGGCUUAUCAGCUUGUUGGUGGGGUAGUGGCUUACCAAGGCUUUGACGGGUAGCCGGCCUGAGAGGGUGACCGGCCACAUUGGGACUGAGAUACGGCCCAGACUCCUACGGGAGGCAGCAGUGGGGAAUAUUGCACAAUGGGCGGAAGCCUGAUGAAGAAACGCCGCGUGCGGGAUGACGGCCUUCGGGUUGUAAACCGCUUUAGCCUGUGACGAAGCGUGAGUGACGGUAAUGGGUAAAGAAGCACCGGCUAACUACGUG